ensembl:lncRNA
CCGGAAUUACCAUGUCAGAUACAGCGGCAUAAGUGACUCAUACAAAUAAACCAAAAACUAGCCGCGAGAAAAGAAGACAAAACCAGCCCGGGAUUAUGUAAAUGAGCGGCAAAAAAGAAGAAGAAGUUCAGCGCGAACACGUAUGGGAGGCGGAGAUUUGAUGUCCAUACUGUUGAAAUUUCUUUAACCAAGCGCGUGCAGCAAUGUUUGCUUUCCAAGACCAGAAUGUAAAGCUGUCUGUGGAAGAAACACAUCCUGAUCCAAGAUAUGUUCAGCUUCAGGAUGAGGAAGGUCAACAGACGCUUUUACAUCAGGAAAUUCAAGGGACCCUCAGUGUGCUAAGAUUCCCAGACCGUAAUGUGCAGUUAUCCGUGGAAGAAACGGUGCUGUGUUCUCAUCUAAGCUCCGUGCAGCCCUGGGUUCUGAAUGAAGAUGACGGAGGAAUGAUUUUGCACCACAUUCAACCACGCAGUUAGGCCUGUCGAUGUCACUGUCUAUACAAUUAUACAAUUAAAUUAUGUUUUUAAUAUAAAUCAGUUUUGUAUAUUUGUGAUAGAUAAAUAAAUGUAUAUAACUG